rnacentral:rRNA from 1 species
GAUGAACGCUGGCGGCGUGCCUAAUACAUGCAAGUCGAGCGAAUGGAUUAAGAGCUUGCUCUUAUGAAGUUAGCGCCGGACGGGUGAGUAACACGUGGGUAACCUGCCCAUAAGACUGGGAUAACUCCGGGAAACCGGGGCUAAUACCGGAUAAUAUUUUGAACUGCAUGGUUCAAAAUUGAAAGGCGGCUUCGGCUGUCACUUAUGGAUGGACCCGGGUCGCAUUAGCUAGUUGGUGAGGUAACGGCUCACCAAGGCAACGAUGCGUAGCCGACCUGAGAGGGUGAUCGGCCACACUGGGACUGAGACACGGCCCAGACUCCUACGGGAGGCAGCAGUAGGGAAUCUUCCGCAACGGACGAAAGUCUGACGGAGCAACGCCGCGUGAGUGAUGAAGGCUUUCGGGUCGUAAAACUCUGUUGUUAGGGAAGAACAAGUGCUAGUUGAAUAAGCUGGCACCUUGACGGUACCUAACCAGAAAGCCACGGCUAACUACGUGCCAGCAGCCGCAGUAA